rnacentral:rRNA from 1 species
AUUGAACGUUGGCGGCAGGCUUAACACAUGCAAGUCGAACGAGAAAAUGCCUUCGGGCAUGAGUACAGUGGCGGACGGGUGAGUAACGCGUAGGAACCUACCUGGUAGUGGGGGAUAACUCGGGGAAACUCGAGCUAAUACCGCAUACGCUCUACGGAGGAAAGAGGGCCUCUAUUUAUAAGCUCUCGUUAUCAGAGGGGCCUGCGUUGGAUUAGCUAGUUGGUAGGGUAAAGGCCUACCAAGGCGACGAUCCAUAGCUGGUCUGAGAGGACGAGCAGCCACACUGGAACUGAGACACGGUCCAGACUCAUACGGGAGGCAGCAGUGGGGAAUCUUGGGCAAUGGGCGCAAGCCUGACCCAGCCAUGCCGCGUGUGCGAAGAAGGCCUUCGGGUUGUAAAGCACUUUCAGUGGUGAAGAAAAGCCAGGGGCUAAUACCCCCGGGUCUUGACGUUAGCCACAGAAGAAGCACCGGCUAACUCCGUGCCAGCCGCCGCCGUAACAC